AUUGAACGCUGGCGGCAGGCCUAACACAUGCAAGUCGAGCGAGCGGCGGACGGGUGUGUGAUGUCUGGGAAACUGCCUGAUGGAGGGGGAUAACUACUGGAAACAGUAGCUAAUACCGCAUACCAUCAGAUGUGCCCAGGUGGGAUUAGCUAGUAGGUGGGGUAACGGCUCACCUAGGCGACGAUCCCUAGCUGGUCUGAGAGGAUGACCAGCCACACUGGAACUGAGACACGGUCCAGACUCCUACGGGAGGCAGCAGUGGGGAAUAUUGCACAAUGGGCGCAAGCCUGAUGCAGCCAUGCCGCGUGUAUGAAGAAGGCCUUCGGGUUGUAAAGCACUUUCAGCGGGGAGGCGUUACCCGCAGAAGAAGCACCGGCUAACUCCGUGCCAGCAGCCGCGGUAAUAC
rnacentral:rRNA from 1 species